rnacentral:rRNA from 1 species
CGCGUAGGCGGGCGCUUAAGUCGGGGUGAAAUCCCGGGGCUCAACCCCGGAACUGCCUCCGAUACUGGGUGCCUUGAGGACGGGAGAGGUGAGCGGAAUUCCGAGUGUAGAGGUGAAAUUCGUAGAUAUUCGGAGGAACACCGGUGGCGAAGGCGGCUCACUGGCCCGAUCCUGACGCUGAGGCGCGAAAGCGUGGGGAGCAAACA